CCUUUUGUAUAACAAGGCUAUAGAGUGGGAAAAGAUCUUUAUCUAUCAUAAAUCCAUUUAAAAAUAUAUGAAGAACUCAAGAAAUUAGUUAUUUAAAAAUUUAAUUCAAUAAAAAUAUUUGUUAUAGACCUAAACUGAAAAACUCUCAACAAAUGAACCCCAAAAUGACUGAGAGACACCUAAAAUGUUUGAAUAUAACAUCCUUUAACUGUCAGAGAAAUGCAAAUCAAAACUCUGAGAUUUACCUUAUCCUUGUAAAAAUGACCAAGAUUAAAAAUUAUUGUUAACAAUCUAUGCUUAAGAAAAUGUGGGUAGGAAAAAAACUCGCUGGAAGUGAGCUGCAGCCCGUGGCGGCAGCUGCGGCGCUGGGAGCAGUGUUGGAAGUACAUACUGGCACAGCCAUCCCUGAAUCACACACAGCAUUGAAAAACCUGGACAAAUCCAGACUCUCCCAGCAGGAAGAGAAAAAUCAAAAAUCCAGGACUAGCCUGUGAGGGCACCAGACCUCAUUCCAGAUGGUUGUGAGCCACCACGUGGCCGCCAGGAAUUGAACUCAGGACCUUUGGAAGAGCAGGCAACGCUCUUAACCUCUGAGCCAUCUCUCCAGCCCCCCCAGCAGGAAGAGGAGAAUCAAAAAUCUAGGAUUAGCCUGUUCAGCAACAAAGCCAGACUGCAAUCCUGAAAAACUAGUUUUCCAGCUGCAAUUAUCACAGUACUGUUUUAGGAACUAGCUGAUUAUGACCUUGGGAGUGGUCCCGAGAGGCAGGGAGCCGCGCCCUCGUGACCUUCCGUAGGUUUUUAAAUUUUUUUAUGACCCUUCUGGACCACUGGCCUGUGGUCUCUUCACAAAAAUUCUUUUUCCUGGUCACUCGGGGUUGAACUCCUCCCCCACCAACUAAGGCCACGUGCAAGCAACCUCAGCAAGGAUGGUCUUUGGCGAGCCAUGAGGGGGGGGCUGCGCCCUCCCAAGACCUGAGUGAGAGUCUCCCCAGCAUUGAGGGACCUCCAUUAUGUAAAAUUAGGCAGAUAUCUACCUCAAAACUUAGCAGUACCCCCUUUUGGGCCUAAAUACAAAGUUUAACCAUACCACAAGGACACGUGCUCUGCCAUGCCCAGAGCAGAACUUUAUCAUAGCCAGAAUCUAAAAAUAACCCAAAGGUAUCUCUUUUACACCUAGGAUAAAUGAGACAUCAUCCUUUUAAAUAUCCAUGAAUACCACAAAAUAUCUAGGAGUGACUUUAAGCAAGCAGGACAAAAGUUUUUGGGUCCCGUCAUCUCUGCCUGUGAAGGCGGAAAUGUUUUUUACUUUUAACCAUUAUCACUUGCUAAGAGUAUAACUCUGGCCCUUGAUAAAUUUAGUGAGAGGCCUGAAGCAACACCUGGCAGCAGGAAAGAACCUCAAGCUGAAACAUUAUGAUUCCCACCCAAGAGCGGGCCGUACAAACGAAAAUUGUCGGAUAAGAAUUUUAAAUCUUGAAAGAUCCCCUACUUUCUUGCGAAAGCAGAAGAAACACAGCAAAAAUGACAAUUUCACUGAAAGCAGUCUACGGAUUCAGUGUAAAUGUCCAUUAAAAAUUAUAGCAACAUUUCUCACAGAACUCACAUACAGACUUUAUGUAAUGUUCAUUAAAAUUAUAGCAAAACUUUUCACAGAACUCAAAAGAACAAUACAGAACUCAAAAGAACAAUCCCCAACCUUAUAAUAAAGAAAUAAAAACUCAGAUAGCCUAAACAAUUCUAAAAAUCCUCUGAAUGCAUCACAAUCUUUGACCUUAAAACUUUUUCUACAGAAA